rnacentral:rRNA from 1 species
AACACGUGGGAACGUGCCUUUAGGUUCGGAAUAGCUCCUGGAAACGGGUGGUAAUGCCGAAUGUGCCCUUCGGGGGAAAGAUUUAUCGCCUUUAGAGCGGCCCGCGUCUGAUUAGCUAGUUGGUGAGGUAAUGGCUCACCAAGGCGACGAUCAGUAGCUGGUCUGAGAGGAUGACCAGCCACAUUGGGACUGAGACACGGCCCAAACUCCUACGGGAGGCAGCAGUGGGGAAUCUUGCGCAAUGGGCGAAAGCCUGACGCAGCCAUGCCGCGUGAAUGAUGAAGGUCUUAGGAUUGUAAAAUUCUUUCACCGGGGACGAUAAUGACGGUACCCGGAGAAGAAGCCCCGGCUAACUUCGUGCCAGCAGCCGCGGUAAUACGAAGGGGGCUAGCGUUGCUCGGAAUUACUGGGCGUAAAGGGCGCGUAGGCGGAUCGUUAAGUCAGAGGUGAAAUCCCGGAGCUCAACUUCGGAACUGCCUUUGAUACUGGCGAUCUUGAGUGUGAGAGAGGUAUGUGGAACUCCGAGUGUAGAGGUGAAAUUCGUAGAUAUUCGGAAG